rnacentral:tRNA from 1 species
GUGGGUAUAGGUUAGUGGUAGAGCUCAUGCUUAGCAGGCAUGAAGUGCUAGGUUCAAUCCCCAGUACCUCCA